AUUGAGCUGAUGAGUUUUAAAUAGGACGAAACGCGCGUCGUGGAU
rnacentral:hammerhead_ribozyme from 1 species